rnacentral:rRNA from 1 species
UGGGGAAUAUUGGACAAUGGGCGAAAGCCUGAUCCAGCCAUGCCGCGUGUGUGAAGAAGGUCUUCGGAUUGUAAAGCACUUUAAGUUGGGAGGAAGGGCAUUAACCUAAUACGUUAGUGUUUUGACGUUACCGACAGAAUAAGCACCGGCUAACUCUGUGCCAGCAGCCGCGGUAAUACAGAGGGUGCACGCGUUACUCGGAAUUACUGGGCGUAAAGCGCGCGUAGGUGGUUUGUUAAGUUGGAUGUGAAAUCCCCGGGCUCAACCUGGGAACUGCAUUCAAAACUGACUGACUAGAGUAUGGUAGAGGGUGGUGGAAUUUCCUGUGUAGCGGUGAAAUGCGUAGAUAUAGGAAGGAACACCAGUGGCGAAGGCGACCACCUGGACUAAUACUGACACUGAGGUGCGAAAGCGUGGGGAGCAAACA